GUUUGAUCCUGGCUCAGAUUGAACGCUGGCGGCAUGCUUUACACAUGCAAGUCGAACGGUAACAGGGAGCUUGCUCCGCUGACGAGUGGCGAACGGGUGAGUAAUACCAUCGGAAUGUACCCAGUCAUGGGGGAUAACGCUUCGAAAGGAGUGCUAAUACCGCAUACGCCCUGAGGGGGAAAGUGGGGGACGCGCAAGCGCCUCACGUGAUUGGAGCAGCCGAUGGCUGAUUAGCUAGUUGGUAGGGUAAAGGCCUACCAAGGCAACGAUCAGUAGCGGGUCUUAGAGGACGAUCCGCCACACUGGAACUGAGACACGGUCCAGACUCCUACGGGAGGCAGCAGUGGGGAAUCUUGGACAAUGGGCGAAAGCCUGAUCCAGCAAUGCCGCGUGCGUGAAGAAGGCCUUCGGGUUGUAAAGCGCUUUUGUCGGGGAGGAAAUCCUAACGGUUAAUACCUGUUGGGGAUGACAGUACCCGAAGAAUAAGCACCGGCUAACUACGUGCCAGCAGCCGCGGUAAUACGUAGGGUGCAAGCGUUAAUCGGAAUUACUGGGCGUAAAGCGUCCGCAGGUGGCUUGAUAAGAUAGACGUGAAAUCCCUGGGCUCAACCUAGGAAUUGCGUAUAUGACUGUCUCGCUAGAGUAUGGGAGAGGGGGGUGGAAUUCCGCGUGUAGCAGUGAAAUGCGUAGAGAUGCGGAGGAACACCGAUGGCGAAGGCAACCCCCUGGCCUAAUACUGACACUCAUGGACGAAAGCGUGGGGAGCAAACAGGAUUAGAUACCCUGGUAGUCCACGCCCUAAACGAUGUCUACUAGUUGUUGGGCUUUUCGGAGCUUAGUAACGCAGCUAACGCGUGAAGUAGACCGCCUGGGGAGUACCGGUCGCAAGACUAAAACUCAAAGGAAUUGACG
rnacentral:rRNA from 1 species